rnacentral:tRNA from 4 species
GCCCACGUGGUGAAAUUGGUAGACACGCCAUCUUGAGGGGGUGGUGUUCGUAAGGACGUGCUGGUUCGAAUCCAGUCGUGGGCACAA